rnacentral:rRNA from 1 species
UACAGAGGUCUCAAGCGUUGUUCGGAUUCAUUGGGCGUAAAGGGUGCGUAGGUGGCGGGGUAAGUCAGGUGUGAAAUCUCGGGGCUCAACCCCGAAACUGCAUUUGAUACUGCCUUGCUCGAGUACUGGAGAGGAGAUUGGAAUUUACGGUGUAGCAGUGAAAUGCAUAGAUAUCGUAAGGAAGACCAGUGGCGAAGGCGAAUCUCUGGACAGUUACUGACACUGAGGCACGAAGGCCAGGGGAGCAAACGGG